UUCAUCCGACUUCUUCUCAAGUAAGUAUUCCCUACUCUCUCACCCACACACAUUUCCUUUUCCAGCUCUCAUCUUUUUUUUCUUCUAAAUUCCUAGUUUGUUUGACUCUUUUAUUCUGCUAGAAUACAGAAUCAACGGAUGAAGUUGUUUGAUGUGCUUCUUAUCUUAUGCUGCACAGAAUUAACAGAAGCUUCUUUUUUUUUUCUUUUUAACUUUUUCCUUUUUAUUCUGUCCUUAUUAAGAUUUUAUUGGAAGAUUUCGCUGUUUUAGCUGAAGUUUGGGUUCCACUCUUCGGAUUCGAGAUUUUGUAUUUUUCUCUCCAUUAAAGUUGUCUUUUAGAUUUUAAUAAUUUCUUCUUUUUUUUUUUUCUGUUUUGAUCGUUUUGCGGUUCAGAUCUCGCAUUAGUUUCUAAUGGUACGGUCAGGAAUCAUCCUGGCCAAUCAAAAUUCCCUGCAUUAAUGUUCUCUUCUUGCUUUUCUCUGCAAAUGCUCGGAAACUAUCCUUUGUCUUGCUUAAAUUUAUUUGUCAUGUUUUCUCUUUUGAUAUUAGAUUUGGAACAUCUUUUACCUACUUAAGCUAAAUUCCAACUCUCUCUCAC
rnacentral:lncRNA from 1 species